GACGAACGCUGGCGGCGUGCCUAAUACAUGCAAGUCGAACGCAGUGGGGACGGGUGAGUAACACGUGGGUAACCUCCCAUCAAAGGGGAUAAAACUUGGAAACAGGUGCUAAACCGAUACUGAUGGAUGAACCCGCUGUGCAUGAGCUAGUUGGUGGAGUAACGGCACACCAAGGCCACGAGGCAUAGCCUACCUGAGAGGGUGAUCGGCCACACUGGGACGUCGACACGGCCCAUACUCCUACGUGAGGGAGCAGUAGGGAAGCUUCGGAAAUGGACGAAAGUCUGACCGAGCAACGCCGCGUUAUUGAAGAAGGUUUUCGGAUCGUAAAACUCUGUUGUUAGAGAAGCGGUAUCUAACCAGAAAGCCACGGCUAACUACGGGCCAGCAGCCGCGGUAAUAC
rnacentral:rRNA from 1 species